rnacentral:miRNA from 1 species
AGAUUUAAUAUGAAAGAACAGUCCUUUUAUAUAUAUGUGUGUGUGUGUGUGUGUGUGUGUGUGUGUGUGUAUGUACGCACACACACAUGCACAUGCUAUGU